GUGGGGAAUAUUGGACAAUGGGCGAAAGCCUGAUCCAGCCAUGCCGCGUGUGUGAAGAAGGUCUUCGGAUUGUAAAGCACUUUAAGUUGGGAGGAAGGGCAGUAAGUUAAUACCUUGCUGUUUUGACGUUACCAACAGAAUAAGCACCGGCUAACUUCGUGCCAGCAGCCGCGGUACUACGAAGGGUGCAAGCGUUAAUCGGAAUUACUGGGCGUAAAGCGCGCGUAGGUGGUUCAGCAAGUUGGAGGUGAAAUCCCCGGGCUCAACCUGGGAACUGCAUCGAAAACUACUGAGCUAGAGUACGGUAGAGGGUAGUGGAAUUUCCUGUGUAGCGGUGAAAUGCGUAGAGAUAGGAAGGAACACCAGUGGCGAAGGCGACUACCUGGACUGAUACUGACACUGAGGUGCGAAAGCGUGGGGAGCAAACAGGAUUAGAAACCCGGGUAGUCC
rnacentral:rRNA from 1 species